rnacentral:rRNA from 1 species
CCUACGGGAGGCAGCAGUGAGGAAUAUUGGUCAAUGGACGGAAGUCUGAACCAGCCAUGCCGCGUGCAGGAAGACGGCUCUAUGAGUUGUAAACUGCUUUUGUACAAGGGUAAACCGGAAUACGUGUAUGCAGCUGAAAGUACUGUACGAAUAAGGAUCGGCUAACUCCGUGCCAGCAGCCGCGGUAAUACGGAGGAUCCAAGCGUUAUCCGGAUUUAUUGGGUUGAAAGGGUGCGUUGGCGGAUUGAUAAGUUAGAGGUGAAAUGUCCGAGCUUCACUCGGGAACUGCCUCUAAUACUGUUGAUCUAGAGCGUAUCUGCGGUAGGCGGAUUGUCUGUUGUAGCGG